GGGAGCGCCGGUGGCCCCCAGGAGCAGCGCUGUCGCUGUCGCCGCCGCCCGCCCCGGCCCGGCCGAAGCGCGGGGCCGCUCCAGGGCUGGAAUUGUGAAUUCGAACGUGGUAGCUGCCAGCAGGAGAUUUGCAGGGAAGUGCCUGGAGUCCAGCAUCCAGUUUCACUGUUGAAACACAGCUUGUGGGAACCCUGGCAAGUGAUGCUGCUCGUUGCAUAUGUCUCUUUCAAAUGUCAUGUUUUCUGGUUCUCUUGCCCUAACUUCUGAUGGCUCAUUAGUUCCACACUGCCCCUCUUUUGAGGCUGCUCUUGGUACUUCCAUCCACGAGGGGUGCGUUCUUGGAGGCUGCCCACAACAAGUAUAUGGCAGGCCCCCGCCCAGGGACACGGGUGGGCAUUGGAGUCAUCUCUCAGUUUGUGAUGUACGGCUGGACACACCGGACAAGGACUCAGCAUUCCUCUUUCCUUCCUUCUGGCACCUUCCCAGCUGAAAGGACUGCCUGCAGGAUGAUCUUCUGCUUCUCCAAAGUUAUGCAGCACCAUAUGCCCUGUAUCCAGACUUGCUUGCAGUAAGUAGAUGUGAAAGGCAGACUCUUAGCUUGU